UGCUAACAUCGGUGGCCCUCGCCAAGUCUUAGACAAGCAUGGUCAGUUUUCCGAUCGAGCCGAUAGCUCAAUUCAGCAAUCUUUGGACUUACAACCUUGAGGCUGCAGGUUCAAAACCUCGACCCACCUGCCAAAAGGGGAUGGAAUAUCUCAUGUCAUGGUGUUAUUAUCGACUGUCAAUGGGCUGCGCGGGCUGUUGAAGCCAAGUCCUCAAUGUAAAACCACGGUCAGAGCCACGAUGGGCCUAGAUGAUGGCCAAAAUAAACAACUUGGGUCUUGGCAAGAUGGUUGUGCAUAAACCAAGCCACCCAUGGAAUUCCUAACCAGGUUGGACCAUGUGGGAUUUUAGAUACUGUCUAAGCCAGAACCAAUUAGCAAUUGGGCAUGAAUUUUAGGCCUCAGCCCCGGCCAUUGACAGACCUAGUUGUGUGUGGGCUACUUCCUUUGUUAUUGUUUACCACUAAAAUGGGCCUUUUAUUUGUAGCUUUUCUUUAAUAGAUAGAUGUUUAUCAAAGCGGAUGUGUAUAAUGUCCUUGGCCAUUGAGUGUUUAUACAAGUGGGCACCCACGAUGAUCCUGAUCAUUGAUGCCAACCACACAGUGAUUGCAUAUUUAAUAUGCAAUAUUGCCACGCUUUCUUCCAUUGGAGAGAGAUUGUGGGAGUGGGCCAUCCAAAGCGAGUCUCUCAUCCACCAAUGGCUUAGAUUACCAAUUUCUUAAAAUAAAAUAAAA